rnacentral:rRNA from 15 species
UUAGUAACGGCGAGUGAAGCGGCAAUAGCUCAAAUUUGAAAUCUGGCUUUUGUAAAUAAAAGUCCGAGUUGUAAUUUGCAGAGGAUGCUUUUGGCAAGGCACUGUCUAAGUUCCCUGGAAUGGGACGCCACAGAGGGUAAGAGCCCCGUCUAGUUAGAUGCCGAAGCCUUUUUAAAGCUCCUUCAACGAGUCGAGUAGUUUGGGAAUGCUGCUCAAAGUAGGAGGUAUAUGUCUUCUAAAGCUAAAUAUUAGCUAGAGACCGAUAGCGCACAAGUAGAGUGAUCGAAAGAUGAAAAGCACUUUGAAAAGAGGGUUAAACAGUACGUGAAAUUGCUAAAAGGGAAGCACUUGCAACUAGACAUGGAUGUUUUCAAUCAAUUAGUGAUUUUCACUAAUGUGCUUGGAAUUAUCUAGGCUAGCAUCGGUUUACUGUAGAGAAAAAAGAUAUCUAGAACGUAGCCCUCUUCGGAGGGUGUUAUAGCUAGAUGUGUAAUGCUCUACUUAGUAGACCGAGGUGUUAUUGCGCAUUCUUGCAAGGAUGCUGGCGUAAUAGUUGCUAGUGACCCGUCUUGAAACACGGAC